UUGGUAUCAUUGUAUGAUUGAUUCAGAAAUAUCUCGAUUAAAAGAGUAUUGAAAUAUCCCAUCGGCUAGUACUCACCAGCUUGGGGUAAAGCCAGCGGUGCUCCCCAGGAGGGUGCAACGACUUGCCGAGGCAACAGAGGUAUGGUAUAUUUGGGGUUUGAGGGUCGGGCCUCUGAAGAGAACCCUUUUCUCAGUAAUGAUCCUUCCGCAGGUUCACCUACGGAAA
rnacentral:misc_RNA from 1 species